rnacentral:rRNA from 2 species
ACUAAUCCUAGCCCUAGCCCUACACAAAUAUAAUUAUACUAUUAUAUAAAUCAAAACAUUUAUCCUACUAAAAGUAUUGGAGAAAGAAAUUCGUACAUCUAGGAGCUAUAGAACUAGUACCGCAAGGGAAAGAUGAAAGACUAAUUAAAAGUAAGAACAAGCAAAGAUUAAACCUUGUACCUUUUGCAUAAUGAACUAACUAGAAAACUUCUAACUAAAAGAAUUACAGCUAGAAACCCCGAAACCAAACGAGCUACCUAAAAACAAUUUUAUGAAUCAACUCGUCUAUGUGGCAAAAUAGUGAGAAGAUUUUUAGGUAGAGGUGAAAAGCCUAACGAGCUUGGUGAUAGCUGGUUACCCAAAAAAUGAAUUUAAGUUCAAUUUUAAACUUGCUAAAAAAACAACAAAAUCAAAAAGUAAGUUUAAAUUAUAGCCAAAAGAGGGACAGCUCUUCUGGAACGGAAAAAACCUUUAAUAGUGAAUAAUUAACAAAACAGCUUUUAACCAUUGUAGGCCUAAAAGCAGCCACCAAUAAAGAAAGCGUUCAAGCUCAACAUAAAAUUUCAAUUAAUUCCAUAAUUCACACCAACUUCCUAAACUUAAAAUUGGGUUAAUCUAUAACUUUAUAGAUGCAACACUGUUAGUAUGAGUAACAAGAAUUCCAAUUCUCCAGGCAUACGCGUAUAACAACUCGGAUAACCAUUGUUAGUUAAUCAGACUAUAGGCAAUAAUCACACUAUAAAUAAUCCACCUAUAACUUCUCUGUUAACCCAACACCGGAAUGCCUAAAGGAAAGAUCCAAAAAGAUAAAAGGAACUCGGCAAACAAGAACCCCGCCUGUUUACCAAAAACAUCACCUCUAGCAUUACAAGUAUUAGAGGCACUGCCUGCCCAGUGACUAAAGUUUAACGGCCGCGGUAUCCUGACCGUGCAAAGGUAGCAUAAUCACUUGUUCCUUAAUUAGGGACUAGCAUGAACGGCUAAACGAGGGUCCAACUGUCUCUUAUCUUUAAUCAGUGAAAUUGACCUUUCAGUGAAGAGGCUGAAAUAUAAUAAUAAGACGAGAAGACCCUAUGGAGCUUAAAUUAUAUAACUUAUCUAUUUAAUUUAUUAAACCUAAUGGCCCAAAAACUAUAGUAUAAGUUUGAAAUUUCGGUUGGGGUGACCUCGGAGAAUAAAAAAUCCUCCGAAUGAUUAUAACCUAGACUUACAAGUCAAAGUAAAAUCAACAUAUCUUAUUGACCCAAAUAUAUUUUGAUCAACGGACCAAGUUACCCUAGGGAUAACAGCGCAAUCCUAUUUAAGAGUUCAUAUCGACAAUUAGGGUUUACGACCUCGAUGUUGGAUCAGGACAUCCCAAUGGUGUAGAAGCUAUUAAUGGUUCGUUUGUUCAACGAUUAAAGUCCUACGUGAUCUGAGUUCAGACCGGAGCAAUCCAGGUCGGUUUCUAUCUAUUUACGAUUUCUCCCAGUACGAAAGGACAAGAGAAAUAGAGCCACCUUACAAAUAAGCGCUCUCAACUUAAUUUAUGAAUAAAAUCUAAAUAAAAUAUAUACGUACACCCUCUAACCUAGAGAAGGUU